GACGAACGCUGGCGGCGUGCUUAACACAUGCAAGUCGAACGGCAAGGCACUGCGAUUGUGGGGUGCUGGAGUGGGGAACGGGUGCGUAAGACGUGAGUAACCUGCUCUAGACUUUGGGAUAACUUCAGGAAACUGGGGCUAAUACAGUAUAGGAGCUCCUGCUGCAUGGUGGGGGUUGGAAAGUUUCGGCGGUAGGGGAUGGAUUAGCGGCUUAUCAGCUUGUUGGUGGGGUAGUGGCUGACCAAGGCUUUGACGGGUAGCCGGCCUGAGAGCGUGACCGGCGACAUUGGGACUGAGAUACGGCCCAGACUCCUACGUGAGGCAGCAGGGGGGAAUAUUGCACAGUGGGCGCAAGCCUGAUGCAGCGACGCCGCGUUCGGGAUGACGGCCUUCGGGGUGUGAACCGCUUUCGCCUAUUACGAAGCGUGUCUGACGGUAACGGAUAAAUAAGCACCGGCUAACUUCGUG
rnacentral:rRNA from 1 species